rnacentral:rRNA from 1 species
UAAUAGAUGAGCCUAAGUCGGAUUAGCUAGUUGGUGGGGUAAAGGCCUACCAAGGCGACGAUCUGUAGCGGGUCUGAGAGGAUGAUCCGCCACACUGGGACUGAGACACGGCCCAGACUCCUACGGGAGGCAGCAGUGGGGAAUAUUGGACAAUGGGGGGAACCCUGAUCCAGCCAUGCCGCGUGUGUGAAGAAGGCCUUAUGGUUGUAAAGCACUUUAAGCGAGGAGGAGGCUACUUUAGUUAAUACCUAGAGAUAGUGGACGUUACUCGCAGAAUAAGCACCGGCUAACUCUGUGCCAGCAGCCGCGGUAAUACAGAGGGUGCGAGCGUUAAUCGGAUUUACUGGGCGUAAAGCGUGCGUAGGCGGCUUAUUAAGUCGGAUGUGAAAUCCCCGAGCUUAACUUGGGAAUUGCAUUCGAUACUGGUGAGCUAGAGUAUGGGAGAGGAUGGUAGAAUUCCAGGUGUAGCGGUGAAAUGCGUAGAGAUCUGGAGGAAUACCGAUGGCGAAGGCAGCCAUCUGGCCUAAUACUGACGCUGAGGUACGAAAGCAUGGGGAGCAAACAGGAUUAGAUACCCUGGUAGUCCAUGCCGUAAACGAUGUCUACUAGCCGUUGGGGCCUUUGAGGCUUUAGUGGCGCAGCUAACGCGAUAAGUAGACCGCCUGGGGAGUACGGUCGCAAGACUAAAACUCAAAUGAAUUGACGGGGGCCCGCACAAGCGGUGGAGCAUGUGGUUUAAUUCGAUGCAACGCGAAGAACCUU